rnacentral:rRNA from 1 species
CCUCCCUACGGGACGCAGCAGUGGGGAAUAUUGCACAAUGGGGGAAACCCUGAUGCAGCAACGCCGCGUGAGGGAAUAAGGCCCUACGGGUCGUAAACCUCUUUUGCCGGGGAGCAAGGGCCGGGACGCGUCCCGGCCCGGAGAGUACCCGGAGAAAAAGCAUCGGCUAACUCCGUGCCAGCAGCCGCGGUAAUACGGAGGAUGCGAGCGUUAUCCGGAUUUAUUGGGUUUAAAGGGUGCGUAGGCGGGCUUUUAAGUCAGCGGUAAAAAUUCGGGGCUCAACCCCGUCCGGCCGUUGAAACUGG